CGCUAUACUCCUACGGGAGGCAGCAGUGGGGAAUAUUGCACAAUGGGGGAAACCCUGAUGCAGCCAUGCCGCGUGUGUGAAGAAGGCCUUCGGGUUGUAAAGCACUUUCAGUAGGGAGGAAGGUAGUGUAGUUAACACCUGCAUUAUUUGACGUUACCUACAGAAGAAGCACCGGCUAACUCCGUGCCAGCAGCCGCGGUAAUACGGAGGGUGCGAGCGUUAAUCGGAAUUACUGGGCGUAAAGCGCAUGCAGGCGGCCUGUUAAGUCAGAUGUGAAAGCCCGGGGCUUAACCUCGGAAUUGCAUUUGAAACUGGCAGGCUAGAGUCUUGUAGAGGGGGUAGAAUUUCAGGUGUAGCGGUGAAAUGCGUAGAGAUCUGAAGGAAUACCAGUGGCGAAGGCGGCCCCCUGGACAAAGACUGACGCUCAGAUGCGAAAGCGUGGGGAGCAAACAGGAUUAGAUACCCUGGUAG
rnacentral:rRNA from 1 species